rnacentral:rRNA from 1 species
AUUGAACGCUGGCGGAAUGCUUACACAUGCAAGUCGAACGGCAGCACAGGGGCAACCCUGGUGGCGAGUGGUGAACGGGUGAGUAAUACAUCGGAACGUGCCCAGUCGUGGGGGAUAACGUAGCGAAAGUUACGCUAAUACCGCAUACGAUCUAUGGAUGAAAGCGGGGGACCGUAAGUCCUCGCGCGAUUGGAGCGGCCGAUGUCAGAUUAGGUAGUUGGUGGGGUAAAGGCUCACCAAGCCGACGAUCUGUAGCUGGUCUGAGAGGACGACCAGCCACACCGGGACUGAGACACGGCCCAGACUCCUACGGGAGGCAGCAGUGGGGAAUUUUGGACAAUGGGCGCAAGCCUGAUCCAGCCAUUCCGCGUGCAGGAUGAAGGCCCUCGGGUUGUAAACUGCUUUUGUACGGAACGAAACGGUGCUCUCUAAUACAGGGCGCUAAUGACGGUACCGUAAGAAUAAGCACCGGCUAACUACGUGCCAGCAGCCGCAGUAAUAC